rnacentral:rRNA from 1 species
UACAGAGGUGGCAAGCGUUGUUCGGAAUUACUGGGCGUAAAGGGCGCGUAGGCGGCCUUCUAAGUCAGACGUGAAAUCCCCCGGCUUAACCUGGGAACUGCGUCUGAUACUGGGAGGCUUGAGUAUGGGAGAGGGAUGUAGAAUUCCAGGUGUAGCGGUGAAAUGCGUAAAUAUCUGGAGGAAUACCGGUGGCGAAGGCGGCAUCCUGGACCAUAACUGACGCUGAGGCGCGAAAGCUAGGGGAGCAAACGGG